rnacentral:misc_RNA from 1 species
UACAGAGGCCCCGAGCGUUACCCGGAAUUACUGGGCGUAAAGCGUACGUAGGUGGUUGUAUUAGUCGGUCGUUAAAUAUCCAGGGCUCAACCUUGGAAACCCGGCCGAAACGGUACGACUUGAGGGCGUGAGAGGUACAUGGAACUCUAGGUGUAGGGGUGAAAUCCGUUGAUAUCUAGGGGAACACCGAAAGCGAAGGCAAUGUACUGGCGCGUUCCUGACACUCAAGUACGAAAGCGUGGGUAGCGAACGGG